AUUGAACGCUGGCGGCAGGCCUAACACAUGCAAGUCGAACGAGUGGCGGACGGGUGAGUAAUGUCUGGGAAACUGCCUGAUGGAGGGGGAUAACUACUGGAAACGGUAGCUACUACCGCAUACCAUCGGAUGUGCCCAGCUGGGAUUAGCUAGUAGGUGGGGUAACGGCUCACCUAGGCGACGAUCCAUAGCUGGUCUGAGAGGAUGACCAGCCACACUGGAAAUGAGACACGGGCCAGACUCGUACGGGAGGCGUCAGUGGGGAAUAUUUCAUAAUGGGCGGAAGCCUGAUGAAGCCAUGCCGCGUGUAUGAAGAAGGCCAUCGGGUUGUAAAGUACUUUCGGCGGUGAGGCGUUACCCGCAGAAGAAGCACCGGCUAACUCCGUGCCAGCAGCCGCGGUAAUUC
rnacentral:rRNA from 1 species